UUGACGGGGACCCGCACAAGCGGUGGAUGAUGUGGAUUAAUUCGAUGCAACGCGAAAACCUUACCUACCCUUGACAUGUCCGGAAUCCCGAAGAGAUUUGGGAGUGCUCGCAAGAGAACCGGAACACAGGUGCUGCAUGGCUGUCGUCAGCUCGUGUCGUGAGAUGUUGGGUUAAGUCCCGCAACAAGCGCAACCCUUGUCAUUAGUUGCCAUCAUUUGGUUGGGCACUCUAAUGAGACUGCCGGUGACAAACCGGAGGAAGGUGGGGAUGACGUCAAGUCCUCAUGGCCCUUAUGGGUAGGGCUUCACACGUCAUACAAUGGUCGGUACAGAGGGUUGCCAACCCGCGAGGGGGAGCUAAUCCCACAAAGCCGAUCGUAGUCCGGAUCGCAGUCUGCAACUCGACUGCGUGAAGUCGGAAUCGCUAGUAAUCGUGGAUCAGCAUGUCACGGUGAAUACGUUCCCGGGUCUU
rnacentral:rRNA from 1 species